rnacentral:rRNA from 1 species
UACGUAGGGUGCGAGCGUUGUCCGGAAUUAUUGGGCGUAAAGGGCUCGUAGGCGGUUUGUCGCGUCGGGAGUGAAAACCUCGGGCUUAACUCGGGGCUUGCUUCGAUACGGGCAGACUAGAGGUAUGCAGGGGGAGAACGGAAUUCCUGGUGUAGCGGUGAAAUGCGCAGAUAUCAGGAGGAACACCGGUGGCGAAGGCGGUUCUCUGGGCAUGAUCUGACGCUGAGGAGCGAAAGCGUGGGGAGCGAACAGG